rnacentral:rRNA from 1 species
CCUACGGUAGGCAGCAGUGAGGAAUAUUGGUCAAUGGCCGCAGGGCUGAACCAGCCAAGUCGCGUGAGGGAUGACGGUCCUAUGGAUUGUCAACCUCUUUUGUCAGGGAGCCAAGGGCGCCACGUGUGGCGUUUUGCGCGUAACUGAAGAAAAAUCAUCGGCUACCGCCGUGCCAGCAGACGCGGUAAUAAGGAGGAUGCGAGCGUUAUACGGAUUGAUUGGGUUUAAAGGGUGCGCAUGCGGAAUGCCAAGUCAGCGGUAAAAUUUCGGGGCUCAACCCCGUCGUGCCGUUGAAACUGGCGUUCUUGAGUGAGCGAGAAGUAUGCGGAAUGCGUGGUGUAGCGGUGAAAUGCAUAGAUAUCACGCAGAACUCCGAUUGCGAAGGCAGCAUACCGGCGCUCAACUGACGCUCAUGCACGAAAGCGUGGGUAUCGAACAGGAUUAGAUACCCGGGUAGUC